GGGAACCACUGGAAUCGGCUGCUGUGUUAUGUCUAACCCAUAGCGGAGACACUCAGCAGCUAUGUUAGGAAAAUGAGAAAGAAUCUUCUCUUUGGGCUUGUGACUGAUAUCAAGAAGAACAUACUCUUCACCACGCUUUUUGAGCUGGUCAUCAAUACUUCUUGCUACCACAUCUCUUGGGGCAAGCUCGGCUCUUUCAUCAUACGAUGGCAUGAAUCUCUCCAUAUCUAAGUUGUAAAGAAUGCCUCCAUCACCUCUGACAGCUUCAGUUAUCAGAAAAGCAUUCUCUCUGGCAUUUGAUGGUCUGAUGGGAAGGCCUUCAUCAGCCAAGGCAGUCG
rnacentral:misc_RNA from 1 species